GACGAACGCUGGCGGCGUGCUUAACACAUGCAAGUCGAACGGAAAGGCCCUGCUUUUGUGGGGUGCUCGAGUGGCGAACGGGUGAGUAACACGUGAGUAACCUGCCCUUGACUUUGGGAUAACUUCAGGAAACUGGGGUUAAUACCGGAUAGGAGCUCCUGCUGCAUGGUGGGGUUGGAAAGUUUCGGCGGUUGGGGAUGGACUCGCGGGUUAUCAGCUUGGUGGUGGGGUAGUGGCUUACCAAGGCAUUGACGGAUAGCCGACCUGGGAGGGUGAACGGGCACAUGGGGACGGAGAUACGGCCCAGACUCCUACGGGAGGCAGCAGUGGGGAAUAUUGCACAAUGGGCGGGAGCCUGAUGCAGCGACGCCGCGUGCGGGAUGACGGCCUUCGGGUUGUAAACCGCUUUCGCCUGUGACGAAGCGUGAGUGACGGUAAUGGGUAAAGAAGCACCGGCUAACUACGUG
rnacentral:rRNA from 1 species